CACAGAACCACAAGUUGGGUACAGAGGCAGUCACCCAAGAGCGGGUCCGGGAUAUUGGUCAGCAGGGAGGGCGAAUCGUUGUGCCUGCAAACCACAGGGUUUCGGAGGGUGGUGGAAGAACCCCUAAAUUCUCUCCCAGUGAAGAGAGAGUGAGUUUUAAAGAGGAAAGGAUGGCUUCAAACAGCAUAUUUGAGUCACUUCCUUCUUACCAGCACUUCUUGAGAGAGCACAAAUCCUGUUAAAGCUGGGGGAGAAAGAUCUCCUGGAAGCAGCUCUGUCAUCUGCCAGAUGAUUUGUGGCUUCCUGCAGGACAUCUGGGAUUGGCCGUGGAG
rnacentral:lncRNA from 1 species